ACUUAGUUAUUCAAAUCAUUAUUCAUAUUACUAUGAAUAACUAAGGGAAUCAUCCCUGAUUCCUCCCCCUCUCU